rnacentral:rRNA from 1 species
UACAGAGGUCCCAAGCGUUGUUCGGAUUUACUGGGCGUAAAGGGAGCGUAGGUGGCAUUCUAAGUCUGAUGUGAAAGCUCUGAGCUUAACUCAGAAAUGGCAUUAGAAACUAGUCUGCUAGAGGAUUGGAGGGGAGAUUGGAAUACUUGGUGUAGCAGUGAAAUGCGUAGAUAUCAAGUGGAACACCAGUGGCGAAGGCGAAUCUCUGGACAAUUCCUGACACUGAUGCUCGAAAGCUAGGGGAGCAAACGGG